UUGCACUUGGAAAACCAUGAAAAGGGUGACUAACAUAAUAUUUUGUUCCAGGUGGGAAUAAAAAGCAACUGCUUUCCUGGUCCUUUACAGUCUAGUUAAGCAUUUGACUGGCAGAAUGUUGGCACCAGCCCUGGAAGAGCUGAUCAGCCUCAACUCCAAAUCUCUGUCCUGAGACACAACAACAGGAUGUGCCUUGGAGAAGAAGACCUACAAAAAAUGAAUUGAUUUUGAAUGAAAGGUCUCAGGAUAGAGAAAAUUUGAUUGCGUUCCAAACCUGCAAGCUCAGGGUGAGUAAUUAUUAUUUUUUAUUAUUUGCUUAGCCUUAAUUUGGAUCUUAAGGUAAGAAAUUGUAUUC
rnacentral:lncRNA from 1 species